GUAUUUUUGUGUUCUUGUGUCUUGGUAGUCUGGUGGUGAAUGAGCAGUCGGUUUGGAGAGAUCAGUUCUAUGACGGAAACGUGAGGAAAGACUAAAGAGAGAGGGAAACAGCUCACCUGAUCGCCCCGUGGAUGGCUUUGCACAUGGGGUCUGCAACAGAUAACUUCAGCCUGCUCUCAUCACCAUCGACUACGGACCUUUUGGCUUCAUGGAGUCCUACGACCGAAUUUUGUCCCCAACACCUCAGACGACGAGGGCCGCUACAGCAUCGGAGCGCAGGCUGACGUGGGUCUGUUCAACCUGGAGAAGCUUCUAGAAUCCCUGCAGCCCGCCCUCUCCCCCAGCCAACAGCAGCGGGCUGCAGCUGUGUUAAAGGGCUACGCUGGACUUUACCAGAUGAGAUUUCACCAGCUCUUCAAGGCCAAGCUGGGGCUACUGGGUGAGGAAGAGAAGGACGGGAAUCUUAUAGCCUUCAUCCUUAAGGUAAGACUCUACCAGCAAGAAGAUUAGAACGUAUUGAGCAGCAGAAGAGAGAACCAGACCAUGGCAGCAGCACCAGAGUGUAGUCCAGGCCAGCGUUUGUAAUGUAGUGGUAUGUGUAGCCCUUCAGGUAAUUUGAAGGAGGGCAGUGGGUAUUUAAUAUAAAUUUAAUAUAUAUAUUUUUUCCUUGUUUUAGUUUAAUUUUGUUGUUGGUUUUGUUAAAUUGGAAAUAAUUCAACUCAAUAUGAUAAGUUGAAUCUGAAUAGAAGCUACGUAAAGCAUAAUCUAAACUGUUUUCAUAUUUUCCCUCCACAAACCGGUGAAAGGGCCGGUUUUGUGCCGGUGAAAGGGUUACUUUACUGAAAAAAUAUCUGAAAGGUGGUACAUUAGUAAAAAUAGUAUGAGACCACUGUUAUCUAGUCUGUUGAGGUUAAGGGGAUUUGUCAUUCAUAUAAGGAACUGGGUUACACGGGAACCGCAGGGGUGUGUGUGUGU